UUGUUAGCAUGUUUGGAUUUUUUUGGACAGAUUUGGGUUAGUGAUAGGCGCGUCAUGUGUUUAGAAAAGAUCAGAUAUUUGUGAUUGAUGAGGGUUCAAGUUUAUUGAAGCAGCUUUCAAGUAUCUUUCAGUUGAUUUUCGGGGUAUGUGGAUAAUCCUGCUCAAGAUUCAAUUUUCACCAAGUGAUGGCAUCUACUCGCUUGAGCAUUCCCUAAUCGAUUAUCCGUUCAAGGUCAAACCAAAUGGUGUCCUGCCUCACGAAAUCCAUUAACUGCCACACUUGGAGCGUGAAAAGGCGCCGCCACCAGGCUGGAACUCAUCGAGGAGCAGAGUACGCCAAAAGCGAAUUGAAAUAAGAGAAAAACAAAGCAACGGAGCAGACGAGGACUCGAGGAACCGAGACGGCGAGGCGUACUCGUCGAGCUAGCAGACCACAUCAUUUCAUAACACUUCCAGUUCAUAUAAUCUAUUUAACCCAAAUUUAAACGUGCCGUGCGUUUGUUCCGUGUUUAAUCAAUUGUAAAGCAA